rnacentral:rRNA from 1 species
AUUGAACGCUGGCGGCAGGCCUAACACAUGCAAGUCGAACGAGUCGCGGACGGGUGAGUAAUGUCUGGGAAACUGCCUGAUGGAGGGGGCUACAUACUGGAAACGGUAGCUAAUACCGUCUACCAUCAGAUGUGCCCAGAUUGGAUUGGCUUGGUGGUGGGGUAACGGCUCACCAAGGCGACUAUCCCUAGCUGGUCUGCGAGGGUGACCGGCCACACUGGAACGGAGACACGGCCCGGACUCCUAGGGGGGGCAUAGGUGGGGAAUAUUGGACAAGGGGCGAAGUCCUGAGGCGGCCAUGCCGCGUGUAUGAAGAAGGCCUUCGGUUUUUAAACUACUUUCAGCGGGGAGGCGGUACCCGAAGAAGAAGCACCGGCUAACUCCGUGCCAGCAGCCGCGGUAAUAC